AUGCCGAACUUAGUGCGGACACCCGAUCGGCAUAGUCCGCUGCAGCUCAGAGCUCCUGAGCUCAAACGAUCCGCCAGGAGCACCAUAUCGAUGCCGAACUUAGUGCGGACACCCGAUCGGCAUAGUCCGCUACAGCUCAGAGCUCCUGAGCUCAAACGAUCCGCCAGCCUCAGCCUCCCGGUAGCUUGGAUUACAGGCGCGCGCCACCGCACCCGGCGAGAAGUGCUGUCGUUUAUGCAGGCUUUAAGGUGUCUACACGUGACGUCAUCUGGAAACAGUGCAGAAAGCCGUUAACAACAUUAUUUUUCAGCAAUAAUGACCUGACAUUAGUGACAGUAAAAACGUGACAGGUUAACACGCUUAACCCUACAUAAAGUGUUUUGUUGUUGAGUUUGUGUUCUCCCUCACAACGUCAUUCAGUUACUGAAGAAUAAACCUGUAAUUAUGGAAAGUUUUUUUUGUUUUUUUAGUGGAAACUGCUGAAAAACAGCUUAUGAGUCAUAUACAGUGCUUCAUGGUCAAAGCUGUCUCUAGUGUUACUGUUGGUUCGGUAAGCAAUACCAUUUUUAUAAUAAAGGUGAAAGAUCACACACAUUCAUGGCGUGAUAAUAAUGCUUUUAAUAGGGGAAUCUAUCAGUCAUCUGGGAGCCUGUGGUAGAGUGCACAUUUGGGGUUUGUUGUGUAAUUUUGUUGAGAUGACUGUGCAGGAAGAAGACCCAGAUGAAACAGGUAGAGAUUCAAAACACACGCAAUGUCAUUGUGAUUCUGAUGUUACUCUUUUAAGGGCAUACAUUUACACACACAAUCCAUACAUGUAAUCCUCUCCAUGCCUCGCUCUGAUGACAUUACUUAUGUGACAAGUCUUUUUUGUAUAUCUGAUACAGGUAGUGACUUCACUGCCUUCCCAUGUAAUAAACUUUACUAUACGUACAAGACAAAAAGAGGGAAAAUUCCUUCAGAGAGGUCUCAAGUUGUAACAUGUGGCAAUGCGAUGGCCUGCUUGCCUGACUGGCCUGUAAGUUAUCUUUCUGUACUGCAGAAACAAAAGAGCAGGCCAUCACAAUAUCUGGAAACUCCCUGGUUUGGUGUUCUUCCUCCUUCAGUUGAAACGUGAAUAAUAGACUGACCCAUCUGUGAGUCUGAAGCCCACCUAUGCAUGAAGAACACACACCAUAAAAUUAGUGAUUGCAGCUCUGUUUCUAGGUGUCUUCUCCCUGCCUGUCUUUGCUGGCUGAUGUCUCAGUCAUGGGACAAUCCAGUCUGUCCCACUCUUUCUGUUUGUUACAAAGCCCCAGCUCUAAACUGGACAAGGACAUUCUUGUUUAUUAAGAGCAGAAGAAAGUGCUAGUUUGUGUGAAAUUUGGAUAAUUAAGUGAACUGUUAGCAUUUUUCACAUUCAGCAUACUUGGAAGGAAGCUCGUGGGAUGGUGAAUGCAGGGCUUGAACUCGAUCUCUGAAAUGUUCACAUGGAAGGAAUUAAUGUGGGCUCCGAAUUCACCUGAGCUGGAUGUUCAGGAGAAGGUUUGGACCAAGGUUUGUGGUCGAAACAGAGUGUAAAUGCUGAGGCUGUGAUUUCUGUGCAACACACUACAGGAUGUUUCAGUGUUUUUAUGUUAAAUCAUAGAAAUACGCAAAAAUCAACACAUACAAGUAAAAGUGUGCAGAGCUCCUCCUUUCUCUCUGAUCAUGGAGUUGUCUUCAGACCUCAGUCCUAGAGAGAAUUUGUGGAGGGAGCUGAAGCUUUGAGUUUCGAAGCAGCAGCCAAGAAACCAAAAUGAUUCUGAGUCUCUCUGAAGAAGAGUGGUCCAAAAUCCCUCCUGAGAUGUGGCCAAACCUGGUGACCAACUACAAGAAAUGUCUUACUGCUUGGCGCUGUUGGCGCUUGCCAACAAAGAUUUCGCCACCAACUCAUGUUCUGCUUUGGGGAUCAAAUACUUAGUUCACUCAGUGACAUGCAGACCAAUUUAUAACAUUCAUGUCAUCUUUUUUCUUGGAAGUUUGGUUGAUAUUCU
ensembl:lncRNA